UUUUUUUCUUUAAGGUCAACUUCCAGAAGCAAAGAACCUACAUUUUAAACAUAUCCAGAUAAUUUGUAUGCACAUGAAAGUUUGGGAAGCUACCACUUUCUCAUGCUUUAAAAAAUAAAAGUGAACCACAGAAAUAUUUUUUUUAAAUUUUGCCCUGUACCCAUGUUAAGUUUGUAAGUGAGAUAUAACAUUUCUUCCCUGACUCUUCAUUUUGCAGCUAGUUGGGAUAAUGAUUUCAACCUUCAGAGGCUUUUAAAAAAAGCUACAUGGUGGUUCCAGUAGUUAUUCUUAGCAGAUAACUGAGGAGGGAAACAUCAAAUUGUGAUAUUUGUCUUAAGGUUUUAGUUAUUAAAGUGACUCUCUUACCUAUUAUGGUAAGGGAGUACAGUGGAAACUGUGUCCUUUGUAGUAGAGCAACACACCCCACCUUUCUGACACCCCCGCCCCAGCCAGCCCCCACUAAGUUCUACUUGCCUAGGCUUGACAGUUGGGGAGGAGCUGGAAGCCAGAGGAACAGGUUGCAGAAGUUCCCCCAGGUGACCCCAGUACAACCCUGCCCCAACCCACACCUUCCCCUCAUUGUCAGAAAGUGAAGCAAUCAAUUGUCUAGCAGGAAUUGCUACUCAAUGUAAUUACUCUAUCUCAGAGGUAGUUGGGAGAGGUAUUUUUCAGGGUUGAGAGGUCUGACCAAUUGGGAUUUUGCCACAGGAAUAAAAACUGAAUUCUGGUGUCUCCUUUUGUAAAGUUUCUGGAUAAAUGGCCCAACGGGAAAGUUUUGCAGGUUUUGGCAUAGCUCAACAAAAUUACUAUUACUGCCAGUGGCAAAGAGUGAAGCCGGAGUUCCAGCCCAGCCAGGGUUACCACUAUGGCAACUGGUACAAGCAGCAACACAGCUCUUGUCCUCUUUCUGGCUACAGCUACACUUGUGCAGUGGAUGGAAAUGGAGUUUCAGCACAUGAGACCCUUCAACGCCCAGCAGGAACUUUGGUUAUGCCUGAGGAAACCACAGCUCUGGCUGAAAACCAAGAUGAAGACCCGCUAGAAGAUCCAAGUCUUCAUUUGAAUAUUGAGGAAUCAAACCAAGAGUUUAUGGCAAAAAGUGAAGAACUCUACGACUCCCUCAUGAAUUGCCACUGGCAGCCUCUGGAUACAGUUUACUCUAAAAUCCCAGAUGAGACCCCAAAGUGAGGCAAGCAAGAAGAAUGAACAAUAAGAAAGUGGAAACUACUAAGGAGAAAGUGCCAUUAUAACUGGAACUCACCCCUAUAUCUCUCUAGAAGCAGGGCUCAGGCACGCUUGACUCAGUUUACAGUCAUCUACCUCCUCCCAGCACCUUGUGUGGUUGAUCGAGAUAAUCUCCCUUGUAUGACCGCGGCCUGGCAACCACCUCCCCAUGGGACAGCUGGAUACAACCUACCUGACUCACCCCACUGACCCACACCGUGCAUGGACCCUGCACACGUGCGUGCCACACUGCAGCUCAGGUGGAAGGAGUAUCAGCAUGUGCCAGGGUGGGACUGCAGCUGGGCACCAUGGAGCUACAUAGACUAGGAAUGAAAAAAUAAGUGAGUAUACUGAGGUUCCUGGGAGCCAGGCUUCUCACUGCUGAAGAAGAAAGUGGAAAGAAUAAACCCAUGUUGUUGGACUGGAAUUGCAGAUAUCAAUGUGGACUUGUGGUUUUUAACAUACACUAUAAAAGUUAAAAUAUAGAUGUGUUUUUGCAUGUGAAUGUGUGAGUAUGAGACAGUGUGUGAGUUGGAAUGUGUGUUUGAGCAUACACGUGUGUACAGCAAGCAUGUGGCACGCAUGUGGACAGACAUUUUGUGUAUACAUGCAUAUAGAUUUUUCCCUGGGUCUAGUAUUCAGAUUGUGAUUUCUAAAUACCAUGCUCUAUUCAAUAGAAUCAGGGCUGGUUGGAGAAGAUGGCAGACUCCAAGCCUGGGCAUGUGAAGUACAAGAUUAGCUUGGAACACCUCUUGUGCCAAAAACAAUGAUUGGGACUUGUUGAAAGGAUGCAGGAGCCCGCUUGAAGGGGCUCCCACUGGCCACGUCUGGGACAAUUAGAGCAACAAUGUCAGUAGAAAAGUAAUGGACUAUAAUCCAUUGACUAAACUAGGCAUCCAAGUCUCUAAGAAUAUAUAAAAAUAAACAAACACACAGGGAGGGACAG